rnacentral:rRNA from 1 species
AUACGGAGGAUGCGAGCGUUAUCCGGAUUUAUUGGGUUUAAAGGGAGCGUAGGUGGGAUAUUAAGUCAGCUGUGAAAGUUUGGGGCUCAACCUUAAAAUUGCAGUUGAUACUGGUUUCCUUGAGUACGGUACAGAUGGGCGGAAUUCGUGGUGUAGCGGUGAAAUGCUUAGAUAUCACGAAGAACUCCGAUCGCGAAGGCAGCUCACCGGGCCGGAACUGACACUGAUGCUCGAGAGUGCGGGUAUCAAACAGGAUUAGAUACCCUGGUAGUCCGCACAGUAAACGAUGAAUACUCGCUGUUUGCGAUACACGGUAAGCGGCCAAGCGAAAGCGUUAAGUAUUCCACCUGGGGAGUACGCCGGCAACGGUGAAACUCAAAGGAAUUGACGGGG